GAACGUCGUGAGACAGUUCGGUCCCUAUCCGGCGCAGGCGGAGGAAAUUUGAUAGGAGCUGUCCUUAGUACGAGAGGACCGGGAUGGACGGACCGCUGGUGUAUCUGUUGUACUGCCAAGUGCAUAGCAGAGUAGCCAAGUCUGGAAGGGAUAAACGCUGAAGGCAUCUAAGCGUGAAGCCCCCCUAAAGAUAAGAUUUCCCAUACCGAAAGGUAGUAAGACCCCUUGAAGACGACGAGGUAGAUAGGGCAGGGGUGGAAGUGUGGCAACACAUGGAGCUGACUGUCACUAAUCGGUCGAGGCUUUGACCAG
rnacentral:rRNA from 1 species